GAUGAACGCUAGCUACAGGCUUAACACAUGCAAGUCGAGGGGAAACGACAUCGAAAGCUUGCUUUUGAUGGGCGUCGACCGGCGCACGGGUGAGUAACGCGUAUCCAACCUGCCCACCACUUGGGGAUAACCUUGCGAAAGUAAGACUAAUACCCGAUGAUAUCUCUAUAAGACAUCUGAAAGGGAUUAAAGAUUUAUCGGUGAUGGAUGGGGAUGCGUCUGAUUAGCUUGUUGGCGGGGUAACGGCCCACCAAGGCAACGAUCAGUAGGGGUUCUGAGAGGAAGGUCCCCCACAUUGGAACUGAGACACGGUCCAAACUCCUACGGGAGGCAGCAGUGAGGAAUAUUGGUCAAUGGGCAGAGCCUGAACCAGCCAAGUAGCGUGCAGGAUGACGGCCCUAUGGGUUGUAAACUGCUUUUANAUGGGGAUAAAGUGAGCUACGUGUAGCUUAUUGCAGGUACCAUAUGAAUAAGGACCGGCUAAUUCCGUGCCAGCAGCCG
rnacentral:rRNA from 1 species